rnacentral:sRNA from 1 species
GCCAGGUGCCGUGGCGCAUGCCUGUAAUCUCAACAGCUUGGGAGGCUGAGGCAGGAGGAUUGUGAGUUCAGCACCAGCCUCAGCAACGGCAAGGUGCUAAGCAACUCAGUGAGAUCCUGUCUCUA